rnacentral:rRNA from 1 species
GAUGAACGCUGGCGGCGUGCCUAAUACAUGCAAGUCGAGCGAACAGACGAGGAGCUUGCUCCUCUGACGUUAGCGGCGGACGUGUGAGUAACACGUGGAUAACCUACCUAUAAGACUGGGAUAACUUCGGGAAACCGGAUCUAAUACCGGAUAAUAUAUUGAACCGCAUGGUUCAAUAGUGAAAGACGGUUUUGCUGUCACUUAUAGAUGGAUCCGCGCCGCAUUAGCUAGUUGGUAAGGUAACGGCUUACCAAGGCAACGAUGCGUAGCCGACCUGAGAGGGUGAUCGGCCACACUGGAGCUGAGACGCGGUCCAGACUCCUACGGGAGGCAGCAGUAGGGAAUCUGCCGCAAUAGGCGAAAGCCUGACGGAGCAACGCCGCGUGAGUGAUGAAGGUCUUCGGAUCGUAAAACUCUGUUAUUAGGGAAGAACAAAUGUGUAAGUAACUAUGCACGUCUUGACGGUACCUAAUCAGAAAGCCACGGCUAACUACGUG